rnacentral:rRNA from 1 species
AAUGAACGCUGGCGGCAUGCCUAACACAUGCAAGUCGAACGACAACACAAUAAGCUCUUUCUCUUGCGGUUGGCGGGGGACGGACGGGUGAGGAAUACAUCGGAUUCUACUUUUUCUUGGGUGAUAACGGAGAGACGCUGACGCUACUAGCUCAUACGACCUACGGGUUAAAUCAGUAGAGCUUCAGGCCUUUCCCGUUUGUAUGAGCCGAUGCCGCAUUAGCUAGUUGGCUGGGUAACGGCUCACCAAGGCAACGAUCCGUAGCGGGCCUGAGAGGAUGAUCAGCCACACUGGAACUGAGACACGGUCCAGACUCCUACGGGAGGCAGCAGUGGGGAAUCUUGCACAAUGGGCGAAAGCCUGAUGCAGCAACACCGCGUGAGUGAAGAAGGUCUUCGGGUCGUAAAGCUCUUUUGUUGGGAAAGAACAGAAGCAGAUUUAUCCAUCGCUGUCUUGACGGUACCUAAAGAAUAAGCAACGGCUAACUUCGUG